rnacentral:rRNA from 1 species
AGCGAACGCUGGCGGCAGGCUUAACACAUGCAAGUCGAGCGGGCACUUCGGUGUCAGCGGCAGACGGGUGAGUAACACGUGGGAACGUACCCUUCGGUUCGGAACAACUCUGGGAAACUGGAGCUAAUACCGGAUACGCCCUUAUGGGGAAAGGUUUACUGCCGAAGGAUCGGCCCGCGUCUGAUUAGCUAGUUGGUGGGUAACGCCUACCAAGGCGACGAUCAGUAGCUGGUCUGAGAGGAUGAUCAGCCACACUGGGACUGAGACACGGCCCAG